rnacentral:rRNA from 1 species
UGGGGAAUCUUGCGCAAUGGGCGAAAGCCUGACGCAGCAACGCCGCGUGAGGGAAGACGGCCUUAGGGUUGUAAACCUCUUUCAGUAGUGACGAGGGUUCCAGGGUUAAUAGCCCUGUGGAUUGACGGUAGCUACAGAAGAAGCCCCGGCUAACUACGUGCCAGCAGCCGCGGUAAUACGUAGGGGGCAAGCGUUGUCCGGAAUCAUUGGGCGUAAAGCGCGUGUAGGCGGCUCGAAAAGUCUGGUGUGAAAACUUUCGGCUCAACCGGAAGCUGUCACUGGAUACUGUCGGGCUUGAGUCCGGAAGAGGAGUGUGGAAUUCCUGGUGUAGCGGUGGAAUGCGCAGAUAUCAGGAGGAACACCAAUGGCGAAGGCAGCACUCUGGUACGUGACUGACGCUGAGACGCGAAAGCGUGGGGAGCAAACAGG